CUUUCCUGGCUUUCAGCUCUUGACCAGCCGGACUGUUCUUGCUCGCAGAAACCUCAUGCAGCUUGGCCGUCAAUCUAGAUGAAGAAAAGGCACUAGGAGAAAAAGCUGAGUGGACUCCUGGGGCUCUCCAGUUCACCAUCACAGCCUACUUCGUGAGAUCAAGGCCAGUGAGAGACCCUGACUCAAAAACAAACCCCAAACAAAGGAGGAUGAUAUCUAAGGAACAAGAGCUUUGGCCAGGGAUCCAAGCUUGGGUUAAAGUUCAUCAGACACUUACGAGGAAACCAUGCUUUUAAAGGCAAGAUUUAAUGAAAUUCACAGUUUUAUGUAAAAAACAACUUCAAAGGAAAAAGCACACUGAUGCUGUGGAAAGUAGAAUCCAUGAAGAGCCUUUACCUCAGAGACCUUGUUAGAUUCCUUCGCCUAACAACCUGCCUUCAGCCAGUCACACGCCCAUCAGUCGAUUAACAAGCGCUUGUAAAUAUAAGUGCUUUGCU
rnacentral:sRNA from 1 species